rnacentral:rRNA from 1 species
AACGAACGCUGGCGGCAUGCCUAACACAUGCCAGUCGAACGAGACCUUCGGGUCUAGUGGCGCACGGGUGCGUAACGCGUGGGAACCUGCCCUUAGGUUCGGAAUAACUCCCCGAAAGGGGUGCUAAUACCGGAUAAUGUCUUCGGACCAAAGAUUUAUCGCCUUUGGAUGGGCCCGCGUUGGAUUAGCUAGUUGGUAGGGUAAAAGCCUACCAAGGCGACGAUCCAUAGCUGGUCUGAGAGGAUGAUCAGCCACACUGGGACUGAGACACGGCCCAGACUCCUACGGGAGGCAGCAGUGGGGAAUAUUGGACAAUGGGCGAAAGCCUGAUCCAGCAAUGCCGCGUGAGUGAUGAAGGCCUUAGGGUUGUAAAGCUCUUUUACCCGGGAUGAUAAUGACAGUACCGGGGGAAUAAGCUCCGGCUAACUCCGUG